rnacentral:rRNA from 1 species
AUAACUGUACAAAGGUAGCAUAAUAAUUAGUUUUUUAAUUAAAAACUAGAAUGAAAGAUUUAAUGAAAUAUAGACUUUAUUAAUUUAAUAAAAAUUAAAUUUUUUAUUUAAUUUAAAAAAAUUAAAUAAAAUUAAAAGACGAGAAGACCCUAUAGAAUUUUAUAUUUAAUUGGGGAAAUUUUAAAAUUUAAAUAAUUUUUAAAUAUAAUAACAAAAAUUAUUGAAUAUAAUAUAUUUUUUUUUAAAAAAAAAAUAAAUUAAAUUACCUUAGGGAUAACAGCAUAA